rnacentral:rRNA from 1 species
GACAGAGGGUGCAAACGUUGUUCGGAAUUACUGGGCAUAAAGCGCACGUAGGCGGUUCGCUAAGUCUGUCGUGAAAUCCCCCGGCUCAACCGGGGAAUAGCGUCGGAUACUGGCGAGCUCGAGGUCGAUAGGGGUAAGCGGAACUCCAGGAGGAGCGGUGAAAUGCGUAGAUAUCUGGAGGAACACCGGUGGCGAAAGCGGCUUACUGGAUCGAAUCUGACGCUGAGGUGCGAAAGCUAGGGUAGCAAACGGG